rnacentral:rRNA from 1 species
GACGAACGCUGGCGGCGUGCUUAACACAUGCAAGUCGAACGGAAAGGCCCUGCUUGCAGGGUACUCGAGUGGCGAACGGGUGAGUAACACGUGGGUGAUCUGCCCUGCACUUCGGGAUAAGCCUGGGAAACUGGGUCUAAUACCGGAUAGGAGCCAUUUUUAGUGUGAUGGUUGGAAAGUUUUUUCGGUGUAGGAUGAGCUCGCGGCCUAUCAGCUUGUUGGUGGGGUAAUGGCCUACCAAGGCGGCGACGGGUAGCCGGCCUGAGAGGGUGGACGGCCACAUUGGGACUGGGAUACGGCCCAGACUCCCACGGGAGGCGGCAGUGGGGAAAAUUGCACAAAGGGCGCAAGCCUGAUUCAGCGACGCCGCGUGGGGGAUGACGGCCUUCGGGUUGUAAACUCCUUUCGCUAGGGACGAAGCUUUUUGUGACGGUACCGAGAUAAGAAGCACCGGCUAACUACGUG